rnacentral:tmRNA from 1 species
GGGGAUGACCGGUUUUGACAGCGUGUAGAAGUGGUAAGCAAGCAUGCAGAGCAAUGAUGCCUACGCUCUUUAAUCUGGGACAUCGCAAGUUUUAAAUGGCGAAAAUAACUACGCUCUUGCUGCUUAAUCGAAGCACAGUAGAUUAGCUUAAUCUCCGCAACAGUUGCAGAGACAAGACACCGCUCGAAAGCCACCGUCCUGAGGCUCGUCGGUAAAGCGGUGCACGCAAAUCGGGAAUAGGAAAGGCCUUGCCGCGAAACCUUUCCGAAAUUUAGCGGCUAAGAAAGUUUGUUGGCCGUUUCGGGCCUGCAGCUUUACGAAAACCAAUCCGAAACUAAGCAUGUAGAAACCUUAUUGUUUCCGCGUUUGGACGAGGGUUCAACCCCCUCCAUCUCCACU